rnacentral:tRNA from 1 species
GGUGUUACAGCUCAGUGGUUAGAGCACAUGCUUGGCGCAUGAGAUCCUGGGUUCAAUCCCCAGUAUCUCAG